rnacentral:autocatalytically_spliced_intron from 1 species
UAAUAUAGAUAAUUAUCGUGGUGCUUAAUUAAGGGUUCCACGUAAAAAAAUAAUGUGAAUUGCUGGAACACCCUUAGAGUCUUAAUAACUACAACGUAAUUGGCAACGAUAAGCGUGAAUGUUAAAAAAUAUUAAGAAUUGGGCAAUCAGCAGCGAAGCCUCUAUGGUAACAGUAGAGGAACGUUCAACGACUAAGUGCUACAAAUUUGUAGACAGUGCAUUAAAUAUUCAUAUGUGAUACAAUGUUUUUGACGAUUAACGAGGAGUGGUCAAAUGGACAUUGUGGGUAUGCAGUUUAAUUAUUUAAAAGUAUUGGAAUUUUAUGGUAGAAAUAAACAUAAAAAGAAGUUA